UGGGGAAUUUUGGACAAUGGGGGCAACCCUGAUCCAGCCAUGCCGCGUGUGUGAAGAAGGCCUUCGGGUUGUAAAGCACUUUCGGCCGGAACGAAAUCGCGUGGGCUAACACCCCGCGUGGAUGACGGUACCGGAAGAAGAAGCACCGGCUAACUACGUGCCAGCAGCCGCGGUAAUACGUAGGGUGCGAGCGUUAAUCGGAAUUACUGGGCGUAAAGUGUGCGCAGGUGGCCGCGCAAGUCGAGUGUGAAAGCCCCGGGCUUAACUUGGGAAUUGCGCUCGAAACUACGUGGCUAGAGUGUGGCAGAGGGAGGUGGAAUUCCACGUGUAGCGGUGAAAUGCGUAGAGAUGUGGAGGAACACCAAUGGCGAAGGCAGCCUCCUGGGCCAACACUGACACUCAUGCACGAAAGCGUGGGGAGCAAACAGGAUUAGAUACCCUGGUAGUCCACGCCCUAAACGAUGAUGACUAGUUGUUGGGGGAGUUAAAGUCCCUUAG
rnacentral:rRNA from 1 species